rnacentral:ncRNA from 2 species
ACACUGCAUCGCCAAGACGGUUCCCCCCGAAGGGGAUUAAAAGGGAAUCCGGUCGAUGGUUUGGGAAUGAAUGAUAUUCUCACUGUCGGCAAGCCGGAGCUGCCCCCGCAACUGUAAUCGGCGAGUCGAGGUUCAACCCGUGCCACUGGACGCGAGUCCGGGAAGGCCGAACCGAGACGGCGACCCGAAAGCCAGGAGACCUGCCCUCGAAACCUUCAGUCA